GUGGGCUAUGGGGAUAUGGUGCCCAAAACCUACAUUGGGAUGUUUGUGGGUGCCUUAUGUGCCUUGGCAGGUGUACUGACGAUAGCUUUACCAGUACCUGUGAUUGUAUCAAAU
rfam:Dendroctonus ponderosae Seq01005635, whole genome shotgun sequence.